UAAUUUUCUUUUCCGUAGAGAUUUUACUUUCCAGAUAAUUCCAUUCUCUUUUCAUUCCUUAACUUUACCGUGUACAUAGAAAUGAAAGUUGGAAAAGAAAAAGUGUUUUGAAUUAUAAGGAAAAGAAGGAAGAUUAUUAUUUUUCAUGUUUGCAAGGAAAAGUGAUUUAUUUUUCCUUACAAACAUGAAAAAUAAUAAUCUUUCCAUAGGAAUUUUAUUUUCCAUAUAAUUUCAAUUACUUUUUCUUUCCCGGCUUUCAUUUCUAUGUAGAUGGGAAAGUUAAUGAAUGAAAAGUAUGUGGAAUUAUAUGGAAAGUAAAAUACCAAUAGAAAGAAAAAUUAUUAUUUUUCCUUAUAAAUUUUUUUCAUAGGAAAAGAAAUGAUUUAUAUAUUUUCAUAUUUUGAUGGAAAUAAAAGUGAAGAGAAAAAAUUAUUACAUUUUUAUUAUUAUGUUUACAUUGAAUAAAUAAAAUUAUAUUAA
rnacentral:misc_RNA from 1 species